GAGGCUUGAAUGAGACCUACCUGGCAGCAG
rnacentral:piRNA from 1 species